UACGGGGGGGGCAAGCGUUGUUCGGAAUCACUGGGCGUAAAGGGCGCGUAGGCGGGGAGGUAAGUCGGGUGUGAAAUCCCUCGGCCCAACCGAGGAACUGCGCCCGAGACUGCUUCUCUUGAGUCCCGGAGAGGAAGAUGGAAUUCCCGGUGUAGCGGUGAAAUGUGUAGAGAUCGGGAGGAACACCGGUGGCGAAGGCGGCCUGCUGGGCUCUUGCUGACACUGAGGCGCGACAGCGUGGGGAGCAAACAGG
rnacentral:rRNA from 1 species